rnacentral:rRNA from 1 species
AACGAACGCUGGCGGCAUGCCUAACACAUGCAAGUCGAACGAGACCUUCGGGUCUAGUGGCGCACGGGUGCGUAACGCGUGGGAACCUGCCCUUAGGUUCGGAAUAACUCCCCGAAAGGGGUGCUAAUACCGGAUAAUGUCUUCGGACCAAAGAUUUAUCGCCUUUGGAUGGGCCCGCGUUGGAUUAGCUAGUUGGUAGGGUAAAAGCCUACCAAGGCGACGAUCCAUAGCUGGUCUGAGAGGAUGAUCGGCCACACUGGGACUGAGACACGGCCCAGACUCCUACGGGGGGCAGCAGUGGGGAAUAUUGGACAAUGGGCGAAAGCCUGAUCCAGCAAUGCCGCGUGAGUGAUGAAGGCCUUAGGGUUGUAAAGCUCUUUUACCCGGGAUGAUAAUGACAGUACCGGGAGAAUAAGCUCCGGCUAACUCCGUG